rnacentral:rRNA from 1 species
CAGCAAUGGAGAGUGGGAGACGGGCGAGUAACACGUGGGAACCUUCCCUUUGGUUCGGAAUAGCUCAGGGAAACUUGAGGUAAUACCGGAUAAGCCCUUACGGGGAAAGAUUUAUCGCCGAAGGAUGGGCCCGCGUCGGAUUAGCUAGUUGGUGGGGUAACGGCCUACCAAGGCGACGAUCCGUAGCUGGUCUGAGAGGAUGAUCAGCCACACUGGGACUGAGACACGGCCCAGACUCCUACGGGAGGCAGCAGUGGGGAAUUUUGCGCAAUGGGGGAAACCCUGACGCAGCAACGCCGCGUGGAGGAUGAAGUCCCUUGGG